rnacentral:rRNA from 1 species
AUGGAGCUCAGUCUCAGACCCCUCGCUGCCAUGUACAUCCUGCUCGCCACCGUCGUCGCCGCACCGGCGGCGGCCACGGAGGUGGAGGUGGAGAUCGAGACGACGGAUGCCCAGUCCUCCUACAUCGUGCACGUCGCGGCCGGGCACGCGCCACUGCUGCCGCGCCGCGGCCUGCUGACCACCCGGGCGUACAGCUCGUUCCUGCGCGACCACAUCCCCGUCGAGCUCUCCACCCCGGCGCCGCGGGUGCUCUACUCCUACUCGCACGCCGCCACGGGCUUCGCUGCGCGCCUCACGGGGCGCCAGGCCGCGCGCCUCGCGUCCUCGGGCUCCGUGCUCGCCGUCGUGCCCGACGUGAUGCAGGAGCUACACACCACCCUCACGCCGUCUUUCCUCGGCCUUUCCCCGUCCUCCGGGCUCCUCCCAGCGUCCAACGGCGCCACGGACGUCGUCAUCGGGGUCAUCGACACCGGCGUGUACCCGGAAGACCGCGCAUCCUUCGCCGCCGACCCGUCGCUCCCGCCGCCGCCCAGCAAGUUCCGUGGCGGGUGCGUCUCGGGACCGUCAUUCAACGGCUCCGCACUGUGCAACAACAAACUCGUCGGCGCCAAGUUCUUCCAUAGCGGGCUGGAGGCUGCACGCGGCCGAGCGCUCUCCGAGGACUUGGAGUCACCGCUAGACACCAACGGCCAUGGCAUCCACACCGCCUCCACGGCCGCCGGCUCUGCUGUUGCAGACGCCGCCUUCUUCGACUACGCCAGAGGAAAUGCCGUCGGCAUGGCCCCGGGCGCGCGCAUUGCCGUCUACAAGGCGUGUUGGGAGGAAGGGUGCGCGAGCUCUGACAUCCUCGCCGCCUUUGAUGAGGCCAUCGCGGACGGUGUCGACGUUAUCUCUGUCUCCCUCGGCGCCGUAGGCAAUGCCCCGGAAUUUUAUGACGACACGACCGCCGUGGGCGCGUUCCGCGCGGUCAGCAGGGGCAUCGUCGUCUCCGCCUCCGCGGGAAACUCUGGUCCCGGAGAUUCUACCGCAUGCAACAUAGCGCCAUGGUUCUUGACGGUCGGCCUUCAACCAUUCACAAUGCUGCUUCUUUCGGCCGACUUACUAAUGCCAAUGUGUCACUCAUUGUUUCUGACGAAUUCUUUUAUUUACAGAUAG